GUUUCCGCUCUGGAAUAUUGGAGCUCCAGGGGUGCUAAUGGGAAGGAAGCAAUAAUUUCCCUUCAGCCCCACCCCUGUCCGGGCACAAAACUCCUGGGAUUUCUCUAAUGCACACACUCACUCACUUAGGAGGCACUUACUCAGGCUGGGCUUGUACACAGUGCAAAGACUUGAUCUCAUCUGUUCGUGUGUAUUUUUUUAAUGUUUAUUAUUCUGAAGUCUGCACCUCCCCAACGUGUUCUUUCCACAGUGAAUCCAGACUGUCAGCUCUCAGGAGUCAGGACCAAAUCUGCUUUGGAGAACUUCAAUCAUUCACGACAUAAUGUGGAUGUCCCAGAAGCUGUUUGGAAUGCUCCAUCAGCCUGUUACAGAUAUUUUCCUCCUGUCACUCUCCCCCCACCCCAUUUUUAGACUGAGAACUGUAUCUUUUGGCCAAGAUGGAAUGGAACUUACUCUGAGUUCCCAUACCAAUCCCAGAAGGAAGUCAUAGAAUGUUUACAGCUAGUCAUCGUUUGGUUUUGAAACUCCCAACUCACCAAAUCAAAAAUCAUUCUAAAUGAGGCCAGAUUCUUUCAUUUAAAUUCUUUGUACAAAUGGGACCUUACCAUGGAACAGUGAAAACUGAGAGUCAAAGGACCAGGGUUCAAGCCUACUCUAUCACUGACAUCCUUUUAUUCAUUCAUUUAACAUUUUAAAAUUCCUACUAUGUGCAAGGCACUAUCAGUGUAGUGUGCUAGAAGGUAGUAACAUAUGAUGAAGCUGUAAAUAUCGGUAGGAACCAGUGAAGGGCUUCAAAUGACACAGAAAGGGUUUCUUUUAAUCUGGAGGCAAUAGGAAGCCACUGGUAUUUACUGAUUAGUGGAGUGACAUAGUCAGACUUAUGCAUAAGGAAAAUCACUUUGCAACUUUAUAGAGGAUAAAGUAGAAAAGAAAUCAUUUUGAGGCAGGGAAACUCUUUGAGGACAUUGCAAUAGUCCAAGUGAGAAGUAAUAAGGCCCUGAACAAAAGUGGUGGCCAUUUGAAUAAUGAGAAGGAGUUAGAUUCAAGAGAGCUUGUGGAAGUAGAAAUGAUAGGAUGUAAGGAAAAUGAGUUCUGUUUUGGUCCUGUUGAGUUUGAGAUGCCUACAGGACCUUCACUUUGAAACAUCUAAUAGGUAUUUGCUGAUGUAGGAAUGGAGCUCAGGAGAGGGAUGCGGGCUAGAUACAUAGUUCAGGGAAUCAUCUGCAUAGAAAUGAUCAUUUAAACUAUGGGAGGGGGGUGGAGCCAAGAUGGCGGAGUGAAAGCAGUGACUUGCUUGAGCUUUCCCCCAAACCCCUCCAAAUA
rnacentral:lncRNA from 1 species